rnacentral:misc_RNA from 1 species
GAUUGUUGACACAAGUUACACCGGCAUGGUGCACAAUCCAAUACACACUUGGAUUAUCCUGCUGUAUCUAGAUCUUCUGCAUCUGUUUCUCCAUCAAUCAUCCCCGUCUCUGCUUCUGUGUCUGCUUCAAUCUGCCCUGCUUCUUGAGCAACAUCUGUGUCAGAGCUUUGCUUCUGGUUAUCCUCCGGAGUAGGAGUUUCUUCCUGACAUAUGUUAACAGUAGCUAUUCCUGCAUCUGUAUCCAUGGGAGCAGCAGAUGCUUCAGGAUCCGCUCUGCCCACUUCAUUGUCCAUCUCACUUGGUGGUGUUGCAAUCUGAUUUUCUUCUGCUUGUUGUGCUGAGUUUUUUGUGUCCUCCUUCUUCGUCCGCUUAGUCCUUUCGCUUGGUUUAGCUUGAUAUUUGGCCCGAACUUCAUUAGGCAAAAGCUCCAGAGGCACUACCCCCUCAAUACCAUGUUCUGUAAAUCUGGAAAAUCCUUCCAAGUCUUGCCGGGCUGAAAACCGCAAACCUUUCCAACAAUAGACCCGAUUGUUUUUGUGAUGGUAUUCUGCUUCUAUUCCAGCAGAUUCAUCCAUAUCUUCUGCCAGAGGUUUCCAGUACUUUGUGAUAGCAGGAGUGGCCACCCGUUCAGCAUCAGUUAAAGCACCCGAAUACUGAUCAGCCCAUUUCCACAGUUGGGAGAGUUCUUUGUUUCCAAGACUCCAUCGUGUCCGACGUUUUUUGGUUCCAUCUUGAACCAGCUUUUUCUCUACCGGUUGCUUCUCAAAUGGGGGGCAGCCAUCACGUUUCCACCAAACCCAAUUCCUUUCACGCUCCAAAAUGUGCUCAAUACUGCGGAGGAAAUCUAUGCCUUUGGGUGGAGUCAUUUCAAGAAGCUUCUUUGCCCGCUCUUCACUAGUCUUUAUUUCCUCCUUCAUUGCUUCAGAGGGCAAUUCCUUCUCACUUUUCCCUGGUGCCUUCAAAUAGUCGAACAGAAUGAGGCACUGAACCAGAACGUGGCGCCUGAAACUAGGAUCUUUCAGCUCGAGACCCAUAAGUUUACUGCUUGUAAGAUAUUUUAUGUUGAAGGUUGCAGCAUCAUCCUCAAGGUUAUGA